ACAUGGGAACUUAGUAAGAGCCGAAACUCUGCGAUCUGUUUCAUUUUUCGUCCGGAGAUAUUUUCUGUGGCGGUUAUGUUGAUGACGGCGCGCUACCGGGUUGAGGAAGCAGCAAGCUGAUGGGCCAUUUUUUGUGGUUCUUCCAUCAAUCAUGUAAGACCGAUCACAUUCCGGGUCUGUUACUACUGCCCCAGCAUUGGCCUGGGCUGUGCCAGUUCAUUUUUGCUCGGCUCGCGGCUUAUUGCAUGAUACCAGAGCAGCAAAUGACAAAAGAGAAACAAAUAAUGGGCAGGAGAGAGUCCAAGGGCCGGGAGCCUGCUUAUUUAACUUUCGGGG
rnacentral:sRNA from 2 species